AGUGAACGCUGGCGGUAUGCCUAACACAUGCAAGUCGAACGAACGCACAAUAAGAUCUUGCUCUUAACGUUAGCGAGUGACGGACGAGUAAGACAUACAUCAGAAUCUACUUUUUCGUGGAUGAUAUCGUAAAAAAACUUACACUAAUACCGCAUACGACCUACGGCUUAAAUCAGUGGAGCUACGGACCUUUCGCGAUUGAAUUAGCCGGAGCCGCAUUAGCUAGUUGGCUAGGUAAGGGCUUACCAAGGCAACGAUGCGUAGCUGACCUGAGAGGAUGAUCGGCCACACUGGAACUGAGACACGGUCCAGACUCCUACGGGAGGCAGCAGUAGGGAAUCUUCCGCAAUGGGCGAAAGCCUGACGGAGCAACGCCGCGUGAGUGAUGAAGGUCUUCGGAUCGUAAAACUCUGUUAUUAGGGAAGAACAAAUGUGUAAGUAACUAUGCACGUCUUGACGGUACCUAAUCAGAAAGCCACGGCUAACUACGUG
rnacentral:rRNA from 1 species